rnacentral:snoRNA from 1 species
AUACAGGUACAGUUACAAUAUAACUGAAGUGUUUUAUUGCCAUUGCCCCUACUGGAAGCAUUUGAUACAUGACUACCUCUGUCUGUCUAUUCCAUAGUAAGACAGAGACGCUUGGUUUCAAACAU